GCUUGGACUGCGCGUGCGCGGAAGCCGCCCCGUCCGCCCGCCCCUACGCCGCGGCGGAAGGGUAGGAUGUGUGCUUUCUGCUGCAGUGCGCUGGAAGCUCGGCUACCAUAUCGAAGCACCAUGGACUGGGUGGCCGAAACAACAGAAAUGUGUUUUCCCACAGUGCUAGAGACUAGAUGUCCCAGAUCGAGGUGUUGGCAGGAAGAUCCUAUCAUCUGAAAAACGCAGACCAACACUGGCUCAGGAAGGCUUUGAAGGUCAGAGGCAAACUAACAGCCUUUCAUGAUGCAGCCCCGUUGGGCCUCAACUUGACCGAUGAUCUGUCAAACCCAGCAGAGCACCGUGCGAGGCUGGCUCACAUCCCACUGGACGUAUGACCGAGGGAUGCGCUGGAGAAGACACUUUCUGGAAGCAGGAGAUGCUGCAUACAGGACCAGCAAUCAGGACCAGAGGGGGCCCGUGGUUGUAAAAAUGAACACUGAGAUUUUGAGGGGGAAAAAAGUGCAAGAGGGGGACGAGUGCAAGAGAAAAGACCACAAGUGGUGGGGUGUGGAAGAAAAGUGUUUGAAAAGAGAGCACGGAAGGGCAUGAUCAUGUCAGAGAGCUGGGGCAGUAGAAAUAAGCAAGAGCAGUGCCCUGGGAGAAAGGGCUCCCUCUGCCUGUCAUCCUAUGCCACCUACCCUGUGGUCACCUUGUCACUUCCCACCAAACAUGCUGUCUUCUCAUGCUCUAUUACUGUAUUUUCCAUAAAGUCACCUUUAUGGAAUUGUGCCCACAAGGGAUGCUUCACUUCCGUGGUGGGUCUCAGGGUGCUCAUUUCUUCGGCUUCCCCUUGGUGGCCCUGAAGGAUCUGAUUGUGGAGUGCUAGCGUAAUAGGAGAGAGAUGGGGAGCACAGGUUCUCUGUAUUCCUCCUUAGCUGCAGCUGCUGCUAAUACAGCCACAGAGGAACAGAUGGUAAAUUCCAUCAUCACUGGAUUGAGGAUUCAUGUGCGUCCUUGUACUGUCACAGGAAUGAAAACAGACUCUGACGCUUUGACUUCGUAGCAAAGCUCAUUUGUUUAAUAUCCUGGACACAGAGCAUAGCCCUAUGGCAAGAAGGGAACAAGUAAGCAGGGGAAAUUAAGCUCCACUUUCCUUUCCCAAAUAAUGAUUCUAUCAGACACUCACAUGGUGGCACACUGUUGCGUUUGGGAUUAUGGCUUUAUAACAACAGCAGUUAAUAGGUAUUUAGCCCUUCCUAAUCCAGGUCCUACUGUAAGCACUUCAUGUUAUUAACCCAAGUAGUCUUCACAACAGCUCUGUGAGGUUGGACCUUUUACAGGUAAGAUUUGAGGCUGAGUAACUGGUCUAGACUCACCCAGUGAUAACCAUCAUUGUUAACAAUGAUAACGAUCAUCAUUGCUAUUUCUCUGGGGACAGGCAUGCUUUAAAAAAGGACAAGUCUGCACAGCUGAGAGCACAAUUCCAUGUUUUAUGUGCAGUUGAUGAAAAAAACGUUCUGAGCUUCUCGACGACAGUACCAUACAUAAGGUGAGAAUUCUUCCCUAGUCAGUCAAGCAUCCUUCUGUUCACAUCCUCAACUGAGUCAAGUCUCUGCGCCUGAGUUGAAUCAACUCUAAGACUUACAAAUACACAUCCUGGAUUUUCAGAGGCAGGACUAAUUUAAAUCAGCCUUAACUUUCUCCACAAGUACAGCAGCUUUUUAAAAAUGUGAUGGUGGCUUUUUAAAAAUCCUGAUGGUGGGCCAGAAAAUACUGCCAUUC